GGGACACCGGCCUCUUCCGGUGACUUCCGGCCGGAGCGCUGAGGACGCGGACCUGUCAUGGCGCGGAAGAAGGUGCGUCCGCGGCUGAUUGCUGAGCUGGCCCGCCGCGUGCGUGCCCUGCGGGAGCAACUGAACAGGCCGCGCGACUCGCAGCUCUACGCUGUGGACUACGAGACCCUGACGCGGCCGUUCUCUGGACGCCGGCUGCCGGUCCGGGCCUGGGCCGACGUGCGCCGCGAGAGCCGCCUCUUGCAGCUGCUCGGCCGCCUCCCGCUCUUCGGCCUGGGCCGCCUGGUCACGCGCAAGUCUUGGCUGUGGCAGCACGACGAGCCGUGCUACUGGCGCCUCACGCGGGUGCGGCCCGACUACACGGCGCAGAACUUGGACCAUGGGAAGGCCUGGGGCAUCCUGACCUUCAAAGGGAAGACGGAGAGCGAGGCGCGGGAGAUCGAACACGUCAUGUACCAUGACUGGCGGCUGGUGCCCAAGCACGAGGAGGAGGCCUUCACCGCGUUCACGCCGGCGCCGGAAGACAGCCUGGCCCCCGUGCCCUACCCGCCGCUCCUCCGGGCCAUGAUUAUCGCAGAACGACAGAAAAAUGGAGACACAAGCACCGAGGAGCCCAUGCUGAAUGUGCAGAGGAUACGCAUGGAACCCUGGGAUUACCCUGCAAAACAGGAGGACAAAGGAAGGGCCAAGGGCACCCCCGUCUAGAAUGCCAGAACCAGCGGGUGGCCUGAGGGGCUGUGAGCCAGCGGGGACCUUGUUGAUGAAAGAAACCAUCUUCGCAUUACACCCGAGUCUGCCCCUCGGAGCAGGGAGCUCACCUUCCGCGACGUGUUCUGAGGGUGAGCGGCGCGGCGCGGGGCGGGGGCGGGUGGCCGGUGCUGGGCCGGCCUGAUGCCCCGUCCCCGCCUGCCCCGCAGCCUGCACCGGCGCACACGAACGCACCUUCCUGGCCGUGAAGCCGGACGGCGUGCAGCGGCGGCUGGUGGGCGAGAUUGUGCGGCGCUUCGAGAGGAAGGGCUUCAAGUUGGUGGCGCUGAAGCUGGUGCAGGUGGGGGCGCGGUGAGCGAGCGGGGGCGCGGUGUGGGGGGACGGGGGGCGGGGACCUGGGGACGCCUGGGUGCCGGGCGCGGGCGCAGGCGGCCUGACCCUCCCGCAGGCCUCCGAGGAGCUGCUGCGCGAGCACUACGCCGAGCUGCGUGAACGCCCGUUCUACGGCCGCCUGGUCAAGUAUAUGGCCUCCGGGCCGGUGGUGGCCAUGGUAUGGCAGGGGCUGGACGUGGUGCGCACCUCGCGGGCGCUCAUCGGGGCCACGAACCCGGCCGACGCCCCGCCCGGCACCAUCCGCGGGGAUUUCUGCAUCGAGGUUGGCAAGAACCUGAUUCACGGCAGCGACUCGGUGGAGAGUGCCCGCCGCGAGAUCGCGCUCUGGUUCCGCGCAGACGAGCUCCUGUGCUGGGAGGACAGCGCCGGGCACUGGCUGUAUGAGUAGCCCGGCAGGUGCGCGUCGCGGAGGCUCUCACACUCCAGCCUCCUCCAGGGCCCAGGUGGCCGGGCUUCUGGCCCCACCCUACAGCGCUGGGAACAUCCCUUUGGAUGCGCUGCUGAACUUCCAUCCACCUGUCAGGACGUUGCAUCAAGGGAGGCGCGGGCCUCUCUAAUCCCUGGUGUACAGGGCUUCGUGCCCGAGGAGCUACUCCAGGAGCCUGCGCGGCUCACCUGGAAACGUGCCAGGACACUGUCCUGGUGCCCAGCCCAACGUGAUCCAACUUUUCUUUUUAUAAUAAAGUGAAGUCCUCGUU